rnacentral:rRNA from 1 species
AACGAACGCUGGCGGCAUGCCUAACACAUGCAAGUCGAACGAGACCUUCGGGUCUUGUGGCGCAACGGUGCGUAACGCGUGGGAACCUGCCCUUAGGUUCGGAAUAACUCCCCGAAAGGGGUGCUAAUACCGGAUAAUUUCUUCGGACCAAAGAUUUAUCGCCUUUGGAUGGGCCCGCGUUGGAUUAGCUAGUUGGUAGGGUAAAAGCCUACCAAGGCGACGAUCCAUAGCUGGUCUGAGAGGAUGAUCAGCCACACUGGGACUGAGACACGGCCCAGACUCCUACGGGAGGCAGCAGUGGGGAAUAUUGGACAAUGGGCGAAAGCCUGAUCCAGCAAUGCCGCGUGAGUGAUGAAGGCCUUAGGGUUGUAAAGCUCUUUUACCCGGGAUGAUAAUGACAGUACCGGGAGAAUAAGCUCCGGCUAACUCCGUG